GCAAAAGGGCUUGGAGAAGACAACGCUUAACGAGAAGCUCUGCAAAACUUCAAUCGGUAAAGUUUUUCAAUCUCUACCAUUUUGAAACAAUGCGCCAAUGUUUCUUGCCUUUUUCCUUUUUUAUUUUCGAUGAAUUUGAAAAACCAUAAAUGAUUUUUAUUCCUUGCCUAUUCCAAUUGAUGGGCCAAUCAGAGUUUUAUGGGUGAAGUAGUAGUCUCAUGGCUGAAAUAUUUAACUAUUUAAGUGAUUUUAGGCUACGCUUCUUCCUUAUGCUUAAGAAUCAAGUGAACUUAGUUACCGAUUUUACUCCGUUAAAAGCUCAGAUGCUUUUUGAAAAUUUUCACAGAAAAAUGCUUUAUUUAAUCAUUUUUCACAAUUGUAUUAAUAUGCACUUUAUGGAAUCAAGAUGUUACUUACAACUCUUAAUGCUUUAUUUAUCUAAUUUCUUUUAUAUGCUAUCAGUUAUAUAUUUAUUUUUUGAAGAUAUAGAUAUUCAAAGAUAUGGAGAAUGUUGAGGAUACAAACACAAGCACAGACAGUGAUGAAAGUAUAGACAGCAACACUGAAAGGAGAUGAAAUCAAUAUGUUGAACAAGAUCAAGUUAAUGAACUUAUAGCACUAAGUCAGAUUAAUAAGACCAUUGCAAGUACUCAGCAGUUGGAAGACAAUUUGAUGCCAUCAUCAUUGAUGAUAAUUGAUAAUGAGAGUAGGGCUAAUCAAUCCAAUUAUGAGUCAGACGAGGUAGAUUCCAAUAAUAAUGUUUCAGAUCUAGAUGAGGGUGGAAAGAAAAAUAAGCUUACCCUACGCGACCUUGCUCAGAUGUCAAAAGACUUUCAAUAUGAACUUGGAAUAGAAUUCACUUCAAUUGAACAAUUUAAAUAUGCUAUUAGAGAGUAUUCAUUGUUGCAUGGUUAUGAUUUGAUGUUCUUGAAAAAUAAUAAUGAAAGGAUUACUGAGAAGAUUGUUGGAGUUGUGAGGAUGAAUAUGAAUAUGAAGAUAAGUGACAUCAUUUCCUAUGUAAGAGAGAAGUAUAUGACUGAUAUAUUUGUGUGGAAGUUAAGCAAUGCAAGGGGGAAAAAAAAGCAAGGGCAAUAGUUGAUGGUGAUUUUAAAGAAGAAUAUAGGAGGUUGUGGGAUUAUGAGUGAAGUUAGAUUUUUCUAACCCUGGAACAACCUUUCAAAUGCAAACUGAAAGAUUAUCUCUUGGUGGACCUCAAAUGUUUAAAGGGAUAUAAUUAUGAUUAGAUGCAGUUAAGAGGGGCUUUAAAGCUGCUUGUAGACCAAUAAUUGGGUUAGAUGGAUCCUUCGUAAAGGGUCCUUAUGGUGGUAUUAUUCUUGUGGUUGUUGCUAGAGAUCCUAAUGAACAAUAUUUUCCAUUAGUUGUUGUGGUGGUUGAGGGGGAAAAUAGAGAUUCUUGGACGUGUGGUAUCUAACUAAACUUCUUCAAGACAUUGGGAGCAUGCAAGAGAAGAAAUGGUUUUCAUAUCUGAUCAACAAAAGGGGUUAAUGCCAGCUUUCGAAGGGCUUCUCAAUGGGGUGGAGUUUAUAUGCUAAUAUAAAGAGUAGUGGCCCCUAUUUAAAUUGACAGCACGUUCAUGUACAAAUCAGUAUAUAGUAACGUUUCCAUUUCAAAGCAAAUAUCACAAUAUUGGUUUA